UGAACGUUGGCGGCGUGGAUUAGGCAUGCAGUCGUACGCACAGCUUCGGCUGUGAGUGGCGCAAGGGUGAGUAAUGCGAAGGUAACCAACCCUGGUGUUGGGCAUAACCGCGGGAAACUGCGGGUAAUUCCCAGCGACGUCGCGAGAUGGCAUCAUCUUGCGACCAAAGGUGUGAUUCCGCUCUAGGACGGGCCUUCGUGGUAUUAGGUAGUUGGUGAGGUAACGGCUCACCAAGCCGACGAUGCCUACCGGGUGUGAGAGCAUGACCCGGCACACUGGAACUGAGACACUGUCCAGACACCUACGGGUGGCUGCAGUCGAGAAUCUUCGGCAAUGGGCGAAAGCCUGACCGAGCGACGCCGCGUGAGGGAAGAAGGCCUCGGUGUAACGUACUUCGUAGUAGGAGGAAGGGGACCGGUCGCGAGAGCGGUCGUUUCGUACCGUAUUC
rnacentral:rRNA from 1 species